UGCUCCUCUGUGGAGCAAGUGCCUCCAUGAAAUGCCACAUUUUGUGAAGAAAGUGCAUGCAGGAAUAUUCAGGAGUCCAGCAUGUAGUCAUGGCAGCCUUAGGUAUUUGAGACAGAACAACCCUCCUGCUGAAGACAACCAUAACUCAUGCAGGCAUGAGUCUAAGCGCAUCAAGACUGGAUGGUUCCUAUGACUGUAUUCUCUACUAAGAACUUGGAGUGUGAUGCCCAGAAGUGUGUGAACUGGUCUGUGACCACAAAGAUGAGAACCGCACGCUGAGAUUGGUGGAAUGGAGACUUUAGUGAGCCUACAUGCAGAUGACAUGGUGACACCCGUGCCCAGCCUGAGCUGUUUUCUUCUGGCUCUCUUAUUACAUGAGAAAAAUAAACCCCUAUGCACCUUG